rnacentral:snRNA from 1 species
AGAAGUGAAGAGGAUCAGGCUGUAUCAUUUGUCACCCAACUGACUGUGAGGGUUGAUUUGGAUGAUCUAGCUGGUUAGUCUCAUUUUUUCCCGCUUCCUCCCUUACAGCUCUGUGUGUAUUCUUCCCAAAGUUGCACACUUAGUCAAAGAGGAUGACCUUUCUUUGGUCAAGCAUAUAUCUGCUUUUCCCAUGUAGAUCCUCCAAACAAGUUCUCAAGGUCCAAAUGCAUACAAAUAUGGCUAUAAUUACUGAAGGUUGCUCUUGGGAGUAUAACUGGUUUU